AUUGAACGCUGGCGGCAGGCCUAACACAUGCAAGUCGAGCGAGCGGCGGACGGGUGAGUAAUGUCUGGGAAACUGCCUGCUGGAGGGGGAUCACUACUGGAAACGGUUGCUAAUACCGCAUCCCCUCAGCUCUGCCCAGAUGGGAUUAGCUAGUAGGUGGGGUAAUGGCUCACCUAGGCGACGAUCCCUCGCUGGUCUGAGAGGAUGACCAGCCACACUGGAACUGAGACACGGUCCAGAAUCCGACGGGAGGCAGCAGUGGGGAAUAUUGCACAAUGGGCGCAAGCCUGAUGCAGCCAUGCCGCGUGUGUGAAGAAGGCCUUCGGGUUGUAAAGCACUUUCAGCGGGGAGGCGUUACCCGCAGAAGAAGCACCGGCUAACUCCGUGCCAGCAGCCGCGGUAAUUC
rnacentral:rRNA from 1 species